CCUACGGGUGGCAGCAGUGGGGAAUAUUGGACAAUGGGGGGAACCCUGAUCCAGCCAUGCCGCGUGUGUGAAGAAGGUCCUCGGGUUGUAAAGCACUUUCAGUGAGGAAGAACGCCUGGUGGUUAAUACCCAUCAGGAAAGACAUCACUCACAGAAGAAGCACCGGCUAACUCCGUGCCAGCAGCCGCGGUAAUACGGAGGGUGCGAGCGUUAAUCGGAAUUACUGGGCGUAAAGCGCGCGUAGGUGGCUUGAUAAGCCGGUUGUGAAAGCCCCGGGCUCAACCUGGGAACGGCAUCCGGAACUGUCAAGCUAGAGUGCAGGAGAGGAAGGUAGAAUUCCCGGUGUAGCGGUGAAAUGCGUAGAGAUCGGGAGGAAUACCAGUGGCGAAGGCGGCCUUCUGGACUGACACUGACACUGAGGUGCGAAAGCGUGGGUAGCAAACAGGAUUAGAUACCCUGGUAGUC
rnacentral:rRNA from 1 species